GGGUUUCAUCAUGUUGUCCAGGCUGGUCUUGAACUCCUGGAUACAAGUGAUCCACCAAAUUACCUCCCAAAUUGCUGGACUUACAGGCAUGAGUCACUGCUCCCAGCCUCAAUUCACUUCUCAAAAGAGUUCAUGAUGUUAAUAGCUCCCGCUAUUAGAGAAUUGUGUGUUUCAGCUGUGGGUGCUUUCUAUUCUUGUAACUAACUGAACUGCUGAAGUUCCCACAGAAGAAUCCAGAAGAACAGAUGCUGUGAAUGAGCUUUAACAUUUUGGGUAGUAGCUGGGGUGGCAAAGUGAGAAAUAAUUUUUAAAUAUUAAAACUAUAUUUGUGAUUUCUAG